AAAGCGGCGGACGGGUGAGUAACGCGUAGGCAACCUGCCCUUUGCAGAGGGAUAGCCUCGGGAAACCGGGAUUAAAACCUCAUAAUACCGCAGUGAGACAUCUCACGGCGGUCAAAGAUUUAUCGGCAAAGGAUGGGCCUGCGUCUGAUUAGUUAGUUGGUGGGGUAACGGCCUACCAAGGCGACGAUCAGUAGCCGACCUGAGAGGGUGAUCGGCCACAUUGGAACUGAGACACGGUCCAA
rnacentral:rRNA from 1 species